GAACGCUGGCGGCGUGCUUAACACAUGCAAGUCGAACGAUGAAGAAAAGAAUCGAAGCUUCGGCAGAAAUUCAUUUCGGAUUAGUGGCAGACGGGUGAGUAACGCGUGAGCAACCUACCUCUUACAAAGGGAUAGCCUCGGGAAACCGGGAUUAAUACCAUAUAACAUUGCGACGAAGCAUUUCGAUGCAAUCAAAGCUACGGCGGUAAGAGAUGGGCUCGCGUCCCAUUAACCGGAUGGUGAGGUAACGGCUCACCAUAGUGACGAUGGGUAACCGGCCUGAGAGGGUGAACGGUCACACUGGAACUGAGACACGGUCCAGACUCCUACGGGAGGCAGCAGUGGGGAAUAUUGCACAAUGGAGGGAACUCUGAUGCAGCGACGCCGCGUGAGUGAUGAAGGAAUUCGUUUCGUAAAACUCUGUUCUAUGGGAAGAAAAGGACUGUACCAUAGGAGAAAGCUCCGGCUAAAUACGUG
rnacentral:rRNA from 1 species